rnacentral:lncRNA from 1 species
AUGCUACUACCCUCAACAAAAUCCUCAACAAUGCCAAAGUCAAGGAUGUUGUACCAGAUUGCAUGCACAAUGUGCUCCACAUGUUGUGGCAGUACCCCAGUUCCAUCACCACCACCACCCUCCCCGCCGCCACCAGCAGCAUCACCACCUCCACCAGCCACCACCGCCAUCUGCCCGCCACCGCCAUCACCACCACCAUCAGGAGGGGGCUCUUACUAUUACUCUCCACCGCCACCUUCCACUUACACUUACUCCUCACCACCACCACCACAAGGUGGUGUCGUUGGUGGCACUUACUAUCCUCCACCAAAUUACAAGAACUAUCCCACACCUCCACCUCCUAAC